AUGCAUGACAGCUCAGUUGGUGUGGAUAAGAGGGACUGGGAUCGGAGCCCCAGUCAGUGUGUCUUUUGCAAACCUCAUGCUCGGCUCUGUUGUACCUAUUUUACAAAACUGAAGACCAGGAACUGGAACCUGGGAACCUGGAAGAUGAUGUUGUCCUGAAGGACACAAUUCAGGCAGCAGCAUGGUGCCAGUUGCAGUCCUUCAAGGACAGCGUUU
rnacentral:lncRNA from 1 species